CGGCGCAAGGGUGCGUAACGCGUGAGCAACAUGCCCGUAUCAGGGGGAUAAUCCAGGGAAACUUGGUCUAAUACCCCAUAGCAAUUAGAAGAGGCAUCUUUUUUAAUUUAAAGCUUUGGUGGAUACGGAUUGGCUCACGUGACAUUAGCUAGAUGGUAAGGUAACGGCUUACCAUGGCUACGAUGUCUAGGGGUUCUGAGAGGAAGAUCCCCCACACUGGAACUGAGACACGGUCCAGACUCCUACGGGAGGCAGCAGUGAGGAAUAUUGGACAAUGGAUGGAAAUCUGAUCCAGCCAUGCCGCGUGCAGGAAGACGGCCCUAUGGGUUGUAAACUGCUUUUAUAUGGGAGCAAUAAGGUCUAUGCGUAGACUGAUGAGAGUACCAUAUGAAUAAGCAUCGGCUAACUCCGUGCCAGCAGCCGCGGUAAUACGGGGGAUGCGAGCGUUAUCCGGAUUUAUUGGGUUUAAAGGGUGCGUAGGCGGUUUGAUAAGUCAGCGGUGAAAUAUUUCAGCUUAACUGGAAGGGUGCCGUUGAUACUGUCAGGCUUGAAUAUGGUUGCUGUGGGUGGAAUGUGUGGUGUAGCGGUGAAAUGCUUAGAUAUCACACAGAAUAUCGAUUGCGAAGGCAGCUCACAAAGCCAUUAUUGACGCUGAUGCACGAAAGUGUGGGGAUCAAACAGGAUUAGAUACCCUGGUAGUCCACACCGUAAACGAUGAUAACUCGCUGUCGGCGAUACACAGUCGGUAGCCAAGCGAAAGCGAUAGUUAUCCACCUGGGGAGUACGACCGCAAGGUUGAACUCAAGGAAUUGACGGGGCCCGCACAGCGGAGACAUGUGGUUUAUCG
rnacentral:rRNA from 1 species